CCGCCAAAUGCGCCUGCCGUUGUAGGAACUACAUUGAUAUUUAUCAAUCGGAGUGUAAACAGAGAUGUUGAGGCAGGCGUGACUCUAAACUGUGGCAGGCACUUGGCUCUGACCUAAGUGGCUGCACAAAAAUACUUACUGCAGAUUUCUGACUGUUUACACUCCGAUUGGUGCACAGGAGCAAACAAACAGUUCAAUUGUACGUGUAUUUACCUUUAUGUCACUGUACCUUAUAUUUUAUUCCUUUAAAUCCAUAAUGGAGCGCGCGUCUCGUUGCACCUAAGCGUCCCGCCUGCUCUGAUUGAUGCGCGUAAGGAAACAAAAUGCAACUCUGCCUGCCCCAGAUGACACUUCACCAGUCAGAUCUAGGCACAGCUGUCACAGAACAUGCUACAGCCAAGAGCUCAGACACCAUUCUACAACACUGGCAAAAAUAUGAUUUGGAAGACUUAACCAUACAACAAACACGAUAAAGAUAACAGAUUUUCAACCAAACAGGAGGCAUGGUAAAGUCGAAGAUGAAUCAACUGGUCAGUGUGAAGCAACUCAGGAGACAU